GCGUGAGUGAUGAAGGCCCUAGGGUUGUAAAGCUCUUUUACCCGGGAUGAUAAUGACAGUACCGGGAGAAUAAGCUCCGGCUAACUCCGUGCCAGCAGCCGCGGUAAUACGGAGGGAGCUAGCGUUGUUCGGAAUUACUGGGCGUAAAGCGCGCGUAGGCGGUUUACCAAGUCAGGGGUGAAAUCCCGGAGCUCAACUCCGGAACUGCCCUUGAAACUGGUUCACUAGAAUCUUGGAGAGGCGAGUGGAAUUCCGAGUGUAGAGGUGAAAUUCGU
rnacentral:rRNA from 1 species